rnacentral:lncRNA from 1 species
AGUUCUUCUAGGGGCAGCAGAGCUUCUUCAACCCCACUGCAAGUUGACUGACACCCUUCAAUACUCUCUUGACCCUACAGAUAAUGCUCAUCAAUUCCUCUAUGCCACAGAACUGUAACACUUAGAAGACUCUGUGGAAUACGAACACUUCUCUGAUUUAUCCUCAUGAAAUUGUUUUCCUGAUGAAAGGAGGAAUAUGAGAAAACUUCAAGCAAUUCAUCUGUAUCGGCAUGGAGAGGAGGAAAAUGAGACUGUAGAUAUACGUUGCUUUGGAUGGCACCAAUAUGGGCCAGGAAGCUUGCUUGAAACAAGAUAAAAAUGUGAUUUGGAUACCAAUGAAGUGACUUUCUGAAUCCUUGCCUUCCUAAAUACAAACUGCAUGACCCUGGCUCUACCUCUUAAAAAUGUAGCAAUUUAUUUUUCUCAGUGGCAGAUUUGAA